UCUGUAUGAUAUCAAGUGCUGAACUUUCUGUUUGUUCACAGAAAUGGGUUGCUUGCUUUUUUGCUUAGAUAAAAGACAGGUUGACACACCUUGAUAGAUACAGAGGAUUUACGUUUCUUCUGAGAGGUCCCACAUAAGACAGCAGAGGAGCAACCAAGUUGGGAAUAAAGAUGCAGCUUCCUUAUUCAGUAAAGCUCUGGGACCCUUGGUGGGAGCUUCAUACAGAAGUGAAAUAUUCAUUAUGAAGCAAGAAGAGCAAGAAGGGAUGAUACACGGUGAUGAAAAGUACCCUGAGAAGGCAGUGGAACAUUAUGAUCUGAAAGAGAUGUUGCUGGACGAAGCUGGCACUACAUACAGACAGACUUCUCUCUCCUUCAAAAUAAGCCAGCAAAAACACAGCAACAUCCUGUCCUCAGUAGGAGACUAAAGAAGCAAGUUCUAACAAAAACAAGGUCUGCUGCACAUUAGCAGACAGUGCUGUGCAACUCCAUAGCUAAUCAACAGUAAAGCCAACUUUUUGAUUUAAUUGCACAAAGAACAGAGAACAUCAGGAAGGUUUGUGCCUUUCUACACAAAAUGAAAUAAUUUGCUUGAUACUUUGUUACCAGUCCAGAUGUCUUCAAAUAAACGUUUUCAAAA
rnacentral:lncRNA from 1 species